rnacentral:rRNA from 1 species
AUACGGAGGAUGCAAGCGCUAUCCGGAUUUAUUGGGUUUAAAGGGUGCGUAGGCGGAUGAUUAAGCGUGAGGUGAAAUGCCACUGCUCAACAGUGGAACUGCCUCGCGAACUGGUUGUCUUGAAUGCUCCUGCCGUGGGAGGAAUGUGUGGUGUAGCGGUGAAAUGCAUAGAGAUCACACAGAACACCGAUUGCGAAGGCAUCUCACGAAGGGGUGAUUGACGCUGAGGCACGAAAGCGUGGGGAUCAAACAGGAUUAGAUACCCUGGUAGUCCACGCAGUAAACGAUGAUAACUAACCGCUGGGUCGUAGUGAUUCAGUGGCCAAGCGAAAGCGAUAAGUUAUCCACCUGGGGAGUACGACCGCAAGGUUGAAACUCAAAGGAAUUGAAGGGG